CCUACGGGUGGCAGCAGUCGAGAAUCAUUCACAAUGGGGGAAACCCUGAUGGUGCGACGCCGCGUGGGGGAAUGAAGGUCUUCGGAUUGUAAACCCCUGUCAUGUGGGAGCAAAUUAAAAAGAUAGUACCACAAGAGGAAGAGACGGCUAACUCUGUGCCAGCAGCUGCGGUAAUACAGAGGUCUUAAGCGUUGUUCGGAAUCACUGGGCGUAAGGCGGGCGUAGGCUGUUUCGUAAGUCGUGUGUGAAAGGCGCGGGCUCAACCCGCGGACGGCACAUGAUACUGCGAGACUAGAGUAAUGGAGGGGGAACCGGAAUUCUCGGUGUAGCAGUGAAAUGCGUAGAUAUCGAGAGGAACACUCGUGGCGAAGGCGGGUUCCUGGACAUUAACUGACGCUGAGGCACGAAGGCCAGGGGAGCGAAAGGGAUUAGAUACCCGAGUAGUC
rnacentral:rRNA from 1 species